rnacentral:rRNA from 1 species
UUGAACGCUGGCGGAAUGCUUUACACAUGCAAGUCGAGCGGCAGCGCGGGGCAACCUGGCGGCGAGCGGCGAACGGGUGAGUAAUGUAUCGGAACGUACCCAGUCGUGGGGGAUAACUCUCCGAAAGGAGAGCUAAUACCGCAUACGUCCUGAGGGGGAAAGCGGGGGACCUGCAAAGGCCUCGCGCGAUUGGAGCGGCCGAUAUCGGAUUAGCUAGUUGGCGGGGUAAAGGCCCACCAAGGCGACGAUCCGUAGCGGGUCUGAGAGGACGACCCGCCACACUGGAACUGAGACACGGUCCAGACUCCUACGGGAGGCAGCAGUGGGGAAUUUUGGACAAUGGGGGCAACCCUGAUCCAGCCAUUCCGCGUGAGUGAAGAAGGCCUUCGGGUUGUAAAGCUCUUUCAGCAGGAGCGAAACGGUCGUUUUUAAUACAGACGGCUAAUGACGGUACCUGCAGAAGAAGCACCGGCUAACUACGU